rnacentral:rRNA from 1 species
GAUGAACGCUAGCGGCAGGCCUAAUACAUGCAAGUCGAACGGUAGCACAGAGAGCUUGCUCUCGGGUGACGAGUGGCGGACGGGUGAGUAAUGUCUGGGAAACUGCCCGAUGGAGGGGGAUAACUACUGGAAACGGUAGCUAAUACCGCAUAACAUCGCAAGGCCAAAGUGGGGGACCUUCGGGCCUCACACCAUCGGAUGUGCCCAGAUGGGAUUAGCUAGUAGGUGGGGUAAUGGCUCACCUAGGCGACGAGCCCUAGCUGGUCUGAGAGGGUGACCGGCCACACUGGAACUGAGACACGGUCAGACUCCUACGGGAGGCAGCAGUGGGGAAUAUUGCACAAUGGGAGCAAGCCUGAUGCAGCCAUGCCGCGUGUAUGAAGAAGGCCUUCGGGUUGUAAAGUACUUUCAGCGGGGAGGAAGGCGGUGAAGUUAAUAACUUCACCGAUUGACGUUACCCGCAGAAGAAGCACCGGCUAACUCCGUGCCAGCAGCCGCGGUAA